GACGAACGCUGGCGGCGUGCUUAACACAUGCAAGUCGAACGGAAAGGCCCUGCUUUUGUGGGGUGCUCGAGUGGCGAACGGGUGAGUAACACGUGAGUAACCUGCCCUUGACUUUGGGAUAACUUCAGGAAACUGGGGCUAAUACCGGAUAGGAGCUCCUGCUGCAUGGUGGGGGUUGGAAAGUUUCGGCGGUUGGGGAUGGACUCGCGGCUUAUCAGCUUGUUGGUGGGGUAGUGGCUUACCAAGGCUUUGACGGGUAGCCGGCCUGAGAGGGUGACCGGCAACAUGGGGAAGGGGGAAACGCCCGGCGGCCUCCGGGGGCCAGCGGGGGGGAUUAUGGACAAAGGGGGGGAAGCCGGAAGCCGCACCGCCGGGUGGGGGAGGGGGGCCUUCGGGUUUGAAACCGCUUUCGCCUGUGACGAAGCGGGAGGGAGGGGAAGGGGUAAAGAAGCACCGGCUAAUUCCGU
rnacentral:rRNA from 1 species